GGAGUCUCUUCUGAUCAAUCAUGGGUACUUUCAAGAGGCAGGAGAAGAAAUCUUGAGGUCCCAAGGCUGGAUUUCAGGGGAGUAUGUACUGAAAGCAGAAACAAACCAUGUAAGGGAGAUGUCCAGAAGAAAUCUGAAUUUUAACAUCACACAGACUAUAAAUUUCUAAGGGUAAAUAUAUAAUAGAGACUGGCAUAGGAAAUACCUACAUAUGGGAAAUUCUUUUUAUCAAUUCAAGUUGGUACUUGCUUGGAAAUUUAUAGUCUUAGAAAAUUGUUUGCCCACGACUGCAGAGUUUCUGCGUAUCAGGGGCAGGACAUGCCGACUUUGACACGGGCUCUACAUCACCAUACCACAGGAACAUGGCCUUUUAUUGGUGGCUUCAUUUAAAAUUCCAGUACCUCAUAUAACAUUUUACAAAAUCCUUUGCAAAAAGGAUUUCUCUGCAUCCAUGGAUGGGCAAGUGUAUAGGUAGUUGGUGAAUGCAUGUUGCUUUUUAUCCCUUACCUUCCCAUUAAGUCCCCAUCUCUCUGCCUUCAUUCUCAAGCAGUCUGGACAGAGGACAUAUUGAUCAAUGACAGGAAGGUCAAGAUCAGACAUGUUUUCAUUUGGAUAUGAUUGUGCUGCCUACAAGGAGAAAGAGACCAGCAAUCGGGAAAGAGGGCAAGGUAGUCAGAAGGACUCCUCUCUUACUAAAACAAGGGAGAUUAAGCUUUUUGGAUACUUCUGGAAGGCCAGAGGUGAGAAGGGUAAGUGUGUUUCAUUACUAGUUCUCUGGAAUCAUGAUUCUAACUCUAAAUGAAUACCUCCUGACUCUUAAAAAUGUGCCUCCUAACCAUAACCCUAACCCUAAAUACCUCUCAAAUCUAACCUUUUGAGUUUUUCAGAAUUUUUUUCCAUAUUGAUAAUUAUUACAGGGAUGGUUUUGAUUUUAUUCACUUCACUCUGUAAAAAUUCCCAGAUAUCUCUGAAACCAUCUCUUCAUCUCUUAUAGGACAAUAACAUCCUGUUACAUUUAUAUAUCAUAAUUCACCUUGCC
rnacentral:lncRNA from 1 species